UUAAACACUCCUUGGUAUUGCCAUGCCUCCAUUCUGCUAUCCUAACCGGAUGUUAUUCAUUUAAAGCCAAACUAAAGGAAACAAAUCUUUCCAUUUAUAACGUAGCGUGUUCACAUAAUUAAAUAUUCAUUGACUGCAAUUCCAUCUGAUCACCCCUGUUGUCAUAUUGUUUGUUACAGUUACUGUGCAGUGUUGUACCGUGGACUCAGACUGUAACCACUUGACGUGCGGGGCUGGUCAAGAGCCAUCCUGCCAUGGUAACCACUGCCAUUGUCAACACGUACAAGCCUGCACAGGAGAUAGCGAUUGUCAUGGUCACUGUAAUGCCGGUGGUGUCCCAACAUGCGAUGACAACGGACACUGUCACUGUAACUAAGGUGUAGAUACGAAACUUGAUUGGAAAUGGCAAAAAUAAAAUGAAGAUAUCAAAAAUGUUGUAUUAAUAAAAUCAUGUUUUCUUUUAUUUUA